ensembl:lncRNA
UUUGGUCUAUUUUCUCUCUGUCAUUCAGAUUGGGAAAUUUCUGUUAUAUCCUAUCUUCCAGUUUACUGAUUCUUUUCUCUGUCAUCUCUGUCCUGCUGUUGAUACCAUCUACUGGGUUUUUUAUUUUGGUUUUUGCAUUUUCAGUUCAGUUCAUUUUGUUUUUAUCUUUUCCAUUUCUGUAUGUUAAGACUCUAUUCUUAAUUUCUCAUUUGUUCCAAACAUAUCUGCAAUUGCUCACCGAAGCAUUUUUAUAAUGGCUGCUUUAUGGUCCUUUCCAGAUAAUUCUAACAUCUCUGCCAUCUCAGUGUUGGUGUGCACUGUUUUUCUUUUAAUCCAAGGUGAAAUUUUCCUGGUUCUUGUUAUGACAAGUGGUUGUUCAUUGAAACCUAGACAUUUUGAGUAUUAUAUAAUAUUCACAGUCUGGAUCUUAUUUAAUCUUCUAUCUUAGCCAGCUCCCAUGACACCACUCUGGCAGGAAAAGAUGGGGGUGCCACUGCAUUGCUGUCAGGUGGGGGUGGACACCCAGGUUCCCCACUUGGUCUCUGUUGGUAUCCAAAGAAGAAAGAAGCUCUUUGGUGCUGCUGUGGGGAGUUCCCGGGAGUUCUACCUCCUCACUGCUGACACCAUCAUGACUGGGAGAGGCCACUCCACCGACACCAUGGAGGAGGGCUGGUGUUUGGUUAGGGCAGAGCAGUUCUUAUCUAAACAAGUGCAUCUCGCUAGGCUAGCCCUCUCCGGGUCCUCUGGCUAGAGAGCAGGCUUUUGUUGUGAGGUCACCACCGUGUCAUUCCUGGUGUCCCAGGGUCCCUAGCUGCCCACCUUCUUCUCCCCGUCAUAACAGGCUUCUUACGUUUGUUUUAUACAUAAUGUCCAGGGCUUUCAGUCGCACUUAGGAGGAAUAGAGAAGAUAUUUCUCCUCUCUUUUUUCCAGAACUGGAAGUUACUUGAAGCCUUUAAAAAUAUGUUUCAGAUGCCAAAGUGAAACAAAACUAACACAAGGUCAGAGUACCUUUCCCUCUCCGGGAUUCAGUUUUGCCCAUCUUUAAAACUUGGUGUAGAUUCCAGCUUCUUCAUGGAUGGUUUACAGUAGCCCCUGAGAGCUUGUCAGAAAUGCAGACCCUCAGGCACCUUCCCCUGCCCCGCUGCCGCAUUGGACCUCCUGAAUCAGAACCUGCAUUUUUUUUUUUUUCAAUAGAUGGAGUCUCACUCGUUGCCCAGGCUGGAGUGCAGCAUUCCACUUCCUACCAUGCUGGCGAGGAUUCAAUGAGAUAACAUUCUGUGCACGACCCCAGCAUAUAGACUGGUUAAUAGUAAACAAUCAAUCACUGUUAGUUCAAUUUCAUUCCAUUCAGUUGUCCAGAUAGUAUUAGGAAACGAAGAAUUUAUAGGAAUAAUUUACAGAAAUUCACAGUCCUGUGUCACUUAACAACAGGGAUAUAUUCUGACAAAUGUGUCCUUAGGUGAUUUUGUCAUUGUGUGAACUUCAUAGCGCGUACUUACACAAACCUAGAUGGCAGAGCCUACUCUAGGCUGUGUGGUGGAGCCUAUUGCCCCAGGCUACAAACCAGCACAGCAUGUCACUGCACUGAAUACCAUAGAUGAUUGUAACACAGUGGUGAAAGUAUUGAUAUAUCUAAACAUAUCUAAACAUAUAAAUAUGGUAUUAUAAUCUUACGGGACCACCAUCAUAUAUGUGGUACAUCAUUGACUGAAAUGUCAUUACACGGUAUAUGACUUUAUUAUAUUUACUCACUGAAACUAUUUAAAGCCAACAUUUAGGAAUAAGGUCAACUGUGCAUCAAUUGAUGAAUGGAUAAACAAAAUGUGGUCUAUCCACGCGAUGAAAUAUUAUUCAGCCAUGAAAAGGAAUGAAGCACUGAUGAAUGCUACAACAUAGAUGAACCCUAAAGUCCUUACGCCAAGUGAAAGUCAGCAACAAAUGGCUACUCAUUUUAUGAUUGAAUGUAUAUGAAAUA